rnacentral:rRNA from 1 species
GAUGAACGCUGGCGGCGUGCCUAAUACAUGCAAGUCGAGCGAACUGAUUAGAAGCUUGCUUCUAUGACGUUAGCGGCGGACGGGUGAGUAACUCGUGGGCAACCUGCCUGUAAGACUGGGAUAACCUCGGGAAACCGAAGCUAAUACCGGAUAGGAUCUUCUCCUUCAUGGGAGAUGAUUGAAAGAUGGUUUCGGCUAUCACUUACAGAUGGGCCCGCGGUGCAUUAGCUAGUUGGUGAGGUAACGGCUCACCAAGGCAACGAUGCAUAGCCGACCUGAGAGGGUGAUCGGCCACACUGGGACUGAGACACGGCCCAGACUCCUACGGGAGGCAGCAGUAGGGAAUCUUCCGCAAUGGACGAAAGUCUGACGGAGCAACGCCGCGUGAGUGAUGAAGGCUUUCGGGUCGUAAAACUCUGUUGUUAGGGAAGAACAAGUACAAGAGUAACUGCUUGUACCUUGACGGUACCUAACCAGAAAGCCACGGCUAACUACGUGCCAGCAGCCGCGGUAAGAC